GGGGAAUAUUGGACAAUGGGGGGAACCCUGAUCCAGCCAUGCCGCGUGUGUGAAGAAGGCCUUUUGGUUGUAAAGCACUUUAAGCGAGGAGGAGGCUACCGAGAUUAAUACUCUUGGAUAGUGGACGUUACUCGCAGAAUAAGCACCGGCUAACUCUGUGCCAGCAGCCGCGGUAAUACAGAGGGUGCAAGCGUUAAUCGGAUUUACUGGGCGUAAAGCGCGCGUAGGUGGCCAAUUAAGUCAAAUGUGAAAUCCCCGAGCUUAACUUGGGAAUUGCAUUCGAUACUGGUUGGCUAGAGUAUGGGAGAGGAUGGUAGAAUUCCAGGUGUAGCGGUGAAAUGCGUAGAGAUCUGGAGGAAUACCGAUGGCGAAGGCAGCCAUCUGGCCUAAUACUGACACUGAGGUGCGAAAGCAUGGGGAGCAAACAGGAUUAGAUACCCUGGUAGUCCAUGCCGUAAACGAUGUCUACUAGCCGUUGGGGCCUUUGAGGCUUUAGUGGCGCAGCUAACGCGAUAAGUAGACCGCCUGGGGAGUACGGUCGCAAGACUAAAACUCAAAUGAAUUGACGGGGGCCCGCACAAGCGGUGGAGCAUGUGGUUUAAUUCGAUGCAACGCGAAGAACCUUACCUGGUCUUGACAUAGUAAGAACUUUCCAGAGAUGGAUUGGUGCCUUCGGGAACUUACAUACAGGUGCUGCAUGGCUGUCGUCAGCUCGUGUCGUGAGAUGUUGGGUUAAGUCCCGCAACGAGCGCAACCCUUUUCCUUAUUUGCCAGCGGGUUAAGCCGGGAACUUUAAGGAUACUGCCAGUGACAA
rnacentral:rRNA from 1 species